UACGGGAGGCAGCAGUGGGGAAUAUUGCACAAUGGGCGAAAGCCUGAUGCAGCUAUGCCGCGUGUAUGAAGAAGGCCUUAGGGUUGUAAAGUACUUUCAUCGGGGAGGAAAAAACAAAACUAAUAAUUUUAUUUCUUGACGUUACCCGAAAAAGAAGCACCGGCUAACUCCGUGCCAGCAGCCGCGGUAAUACGGAGGGUGCUAGCGUUAAUCAGAAUUACUGGGCGUAAAGAGCACGUAGGUGGUUUUUUUAAAGUCAGAUGUGAAAUCCCUGGGCUUAACCUAGGAACUGCAUUUUGAAACUGAAAUACUAGAGUAUCGUAGAGGGAGGUAGAAUUCUAGGUGUAGCGGUGAAAUGCGUAGAUAUCUGGAGGAAUACCUGUGGCGAAAGCGGCCUCCUAAACGAAUACUGACACUGAGGGUGCGAAAGCGU
rnacentral:rRNA from 1 species